rnacentral:rRNA from 1 species
UACGGAGGGUGCGAGCGUUGUCCGGAAUCACUGGGCGUAAAGGGCGCGUAGGCGGCGCGGGCAGUCAACGGUGAAAGCUUGGGGCUCAACCCCGAGUCGGCCGUCGAUACUCCCGGGCUGGAGCACUGUAGAGGCAGGUGGAAUUCCGGGUGUAGCGGUGGGAUGCGUAGAGAUCCGGAAGAACACCGGUGGCGAAGGCGGCCUGCUGGGCAGUAGCUGACGCUGAGGCGCGACAGCGUGGGGAGCAAACAGG